rfam:Gossypium hirsutum cultivar TM-1 chromosome 6, whole genome shotgun sequence
GUGAGGAUAGCUCAGUUGGGAGAGCGUCAAAUUGAUGAUCUAAUGGUCACGUGUUUGAUCCAAGUUCAUCACA